rnacentral:rRNA from 1 species
CACGUAGGGCGCAAGCGUUGUCCGGAAUUAUUGGGCGUAAAGAGCUCGUAGGCGGUCUGUUGCGUCCGCUGUGAAAACUCGGGGCUUAACCCCGAGCCUGCAGUGGAUACGGGCAGACUAGAGUGAGUAGGGGAGAAUGGAAUUCCCGGUGUAGCGGUGAAAUGCGCAGAUAUCGGGAAGGAACACCGGUGGCGAAGGCGGUUCUCUGGGCCUUACCUGACGCUGAGGAGCGAAAGCGUGGGGAGCGAACAGG